CAACAACAUCAAAACCUGAAACAACACGAUCAACAGAACGAUCAGAAGUUCAUGCAGAUUGUUCUGCUCUGAUCUACAUAAUGUUGGUGAUGCGUGUGGUUGAAUUCGUCCUCAUCACUGUUGUUACUGUUCUCAUCACUGUUGUUACUGUUCGUCACUUCAGAGCUCGAGCAGGGAACCAGAGACCACCUGAUGACCA